GAUGAACGCUAGCGGCAGGCCUAAUACAUGCAAGUCGAACGAUACCAGAGAGCUUGCUUUCUGGGAAAGUGGCGCACGGGUGCGUAACGCGUAUGCAACCUACCUUAAUCAGGGGGAUAGCCUCUCGAAAGAGAGAUUAACACCGCAUAAAAUCACACUUCGGCAUCGAAGAAUGAUCAAAUAUUUAUAGGAUUAAGAUGGGCAUGCGUGACAUUAGCUAGUUGGUGAGGUAACGGCUCACCAAGGCUACGAUGUCUAGGGGAUCUGAGAGGAUGAGCCCCCACACUGGUACUGAGACAAGGACCAAACUCCUACGGGAGGCAGCAGUAAGGAAUAUUGGUCAAUGGAGGCAACUCUGAACCAGCCAUGCCGCGUGCAGGAAGACGGCCCUAUAGGGUGUACACUGCUUUUAUACGGGAAUAGACCUCGCUACGUGUAGAGAGUUGAAUGUACUGUAAGAAUAAGGAUCGGCUAACUCCGUGCCAGCCGCCGCAGUAACAC
rnacentral:rRNA from 1 species